rnacentral:rRNA from 1 species
AGAGUUUGAUCCUGGCUCAGAUUGAACGCUGGCGGCAUGCCAUACACAUGCAAGUCGAACGGCAGCACGGGAGCAAUCCUGGUGGCGAGUGGCGAACGGGUGAGUAAUAUAUCGGAACGUGCCCAGUCGUGGGGGAUAACGCAGCGAAAGCUGUGCUAAUACCGCAUACGAUCUCUGGAUGAAAGCGGGGGACUCGUAAGAGCCUCGCGCGAUUGGAGCGGCCGAUAUUAGAUUAGCUAGUUGGUGGGGUAAAGGCCCACCAAGGCGACGAUCUGUAGCUGGUCUGAGAGGACGACCAGCCACACUGGAACUGAGACACGGUCCAGACUCCUACGGGAGGCAGCAGUGGGGAAUUUUGGACAAUGGGCGCAAGCCUGAUCCAGCAAUGCCGCGUGCAGGAUGAAGGCCUUCGGGUUGUAAACUGCUUUUGUACGGAACGAAAAGGUCUGCCUUAAUACGGUGGGCCCAUGACGGUACCGUAAGAAUAAGCACCGGCUAACUACGUGCCAGCAGCCGCGGUAAUACGUAGGGUGCGAGCGUUAAUCGGAAUUACUGGGCGUAAAGCGUGCGCAGGCGGUUAUAUAAGACAGAUGUGACAUCCCCGGGCUCAACCUGGGACCUGCAUUUGUGACUGUAU